CCUUGAGAGCGAUGGAAAAGUAUUUCAGUUGUUCCAGUGAUCUUUUUGUGAGCCCCUUCGUUGCUUUUACUUUGUGAUUUAUUUUGUGAGGAACUAUAAAUCAGAUGAAAAACGAGUUCUUCUGUGGCUGUUACUUCUAAAUUGUAAAUCUUUCUGUGUUUUACAUUGGAUAAAACUGCAUGCUUGUCCUUGUGAAUUGAACUGUCAGAGAGUUCUGUGUGACCGGAGAACUGAUGUCAGCUAGCGAGACUGCAGUAGCAGUUACUGGAAGAAAUAAGAAAAAAUAAAGCUAGUUGUGUAAGAGUGUUAGUUAACAGUGCAAGGAGAAAUUAAGGAAGAAUGGAACAAGGCUUGAUUAAGAACGAGACAAUGUAAUAAAGCUGUCCCAACUA